rnacentral:rRNA from 1 species
GACGUAGGGCGCGAGCGUUGUUCGGAUUUACUGGGCGUAAAGGGCGCGUAGGCGGUCGUGACAAGUCACUUGUGAAAUCUCCGGGCUUAACUCGGAACGGUCAAGUGAUACUGUCGGACUAGAGUACAGAAGGGGCAACUGGAAUUCUCGGUGUAGCGGUGAAAUGCGUAGAUAUCGAGAGGAACACCUGCGGCGAAGGCGGGUUGCUGGGCUGAUACUGACGCUGAGGCGCGAAAGCCAGGGGAGCGAACGGG